AUACGUAGGGGGCAAGCGUUAUCCGGAUUUACUGGGUGUAAAGGGAGCGUAGACGGUAAAGCAAGUCUGAAGUGAAAGCUCGGGGCUCAACCCCGGAACUGCUUUGGAAACUGUUUUACUGGAGUGCAGGAGAGGUAAGCGGAAUUUCUAGUGUAGCGGUGAAAUGCGUAGAUAUUAGGAGGAACACCAGAGGCGAAGGCGGCUUACUGGACUGUAACUGACGUUGAGGCUCGAAGGCGUGGGGAGCAAACAGGAUUAGAUACCCUGGUAGUCCACGCGGUAAACGAUGAUCACUAGGUGUCGGCGGCCAUAGGCGGUCGGUGCCGCAGCAAACGCAAUAAGUGAUCCACCUGGGGAGUACGUUCGCAAGAAUGAAACUCAAAGGAAUUGACGGGG
rnacentral:rRNA from 1 species